GUACUCGAGCGGCGAACGGGUGAGUAACACGUGAGUAACCUGCCCCCGACUCUGGGAUAAGCCCGGGAAACUGGGUCUAAUACCGGAUACGACCACUUCCCGCAUGGGAUGGUGGUGGAAAGUCUUUUCGGUUGGGGAUGGACUCGCGGCCUAUCAGCUUGUUGGUGGGGUAACGGCCUACCAAGGCGACGACGGGUAGCCGGCCUGAGAGGGCGACCGGCCACACUGGGACUGAGACACGGCCCAGACUCCUACGGGAGGCAGCAGUGGGGAAUAUUGCGCAAUGGGCGAAAGCCUGACGCAGCGACGCCGCGUGGGGGAUGACGGCCUUCGGGUUGUAAACCUCUUUCAGCAGGGACGAAGUUGACGUGUACCUGCAGAAGAAGCGCCGGCUAACUACGUGCCAGCAGCCGCGGUAAUACGUAGGGCGCAAGCGUUGUCCGGAAUUAUUGGGCGUAAAGAGCUCGUAGGUGGCUUGUCACGUCGGGUGUGAAAGCUUGGGGCUUAACUCCAGGUCUGCAUUCGAUACGGGCUGGCUAGAGGUAGGUAGGGGAGAACGGAAUUCCUGGUGUAGCGGUGAAAUGCGCAGAUAUCAGGAGGAACACCGGUGGCGAAGGCGGUUCUCUGGGCCUUACCUGACGCUGAGGAGCGAAAGCGUGGGGAGCGAACAGGAUUAGAUACCCUGGUAGUCCACGCUGUAAACGUUGGGCGCUAGGUGUG
rnacentral:rRNA from 1 species